GCCGUUUCGUUCCUCCGCGUCCAGAACCUUCCGUACAGGUUCAGCACCCCGUCCAGAGCAUCCGCCAUCGCCAUCCAACAGCCAAGCAUCUGAACUCGACCUUUACUUACCAGUAGAAUACUAUAGGGAGUGCGGCACAGCAUUAAAGAGACGGAUGUGCGGAAGAGGCAGUUGUACUCUUGGAGCUGAUGACAUCCCAAGGGCCUACCACCGCACCGGCGGCCGCGUCCGCACCCUAAUCAUGGACCGUUUUCGUCCAUUGUUCAAUGUCUCCCCGGGCUCGGAUUUGUCGAUUGUUGGUCGAGAUUAUGAAUCUGGUGGGGUCUGAUUCCUAGUUUUACCGAGAAAUCCGAGUAACCUAAUUUCUUCAAGACGGUAAUUUUCCCUCUUUUGUCUUGUGGUCUUUAUCUGGUUUUCGUGUAUAGUUUUAUUGAAAUGGCAGGUACUGUUUUUGUUACCUGUGGUCUGUAAGCAUUUGUGUAUGCAGGAGCUAUUUCGUAGUUUUGUCUUGGUUUAAGUAAUUCAUGGCUUUUGCUUUUAGAAAAUGGUAGUCAAUCAAUAGUUUUGUUUUUUGCACAAUGCAGGGGAGGCUUUCUUGAAUUUGUUAUUAUUGUUUUUGCCGGUGAAUUAUUUACACUCAUACCAUUCUUACAACUUCAUCAUCUCCAGCUUUAGAGUGGUUGCACGGUUAGUCUUAUCUUUUCUUAUUGGAUUUGAAUGUUGAUGGGGACAUGAUGGAACUAAAAAUUGUCAAUCUCUGAUGUGGUUGCAAUAAUUUUGAUUUUAUUAUAGAAAAGAUUAGUGUAUUAAUGUCAUAUUGUACAACGGUGAAAUUAAUCUGAGGGGAGGUUUAUGGAUUAUAAGGAAUUCCUACUAGCCUUGAUAGAAAACAGAGGUUACAAGCUUGUCACAUCUUAUGAAGGGAAGAAGAAUCUGGCAAGGAAAUACUGGGAGCCGCCUACUUGAAGACACAUAAUGGCUUUCAUAUGGAUCCAAUGGACAUGAUCCUCUCUUGGAUUUUACCCUUUGGAAAAUAUGAUUAGUAACUUCAUUUUUAUGUCUUCUUGUGUAGAUAAGCUAAAGAAUGAUAGAAAAAUGAACGCUCAAAUUCCCCGUAACACAUCUGUGAAGCCCGAGCCAUCGGAAAGUCCAGAAGAACACGAAAGAGAUGUAAACAUUAGAGCUUCAUCUGAAGAAUCAAAGGAUUGUCUCGCGAAGUGUUCUUCUGUGACUGUAUCUCAAAUCAAAUGGGACCGUGAAGAUAUCUCAUCUGAGUCAAAAAGUGGCAUGGAUGACUGUCGUAAGAUUGGCAGUAGUCCAAAGAUAAGGAAGAAGGGAAGCUUGAAGACUGGUAAUGACAACCAAUCAACCCUCUUUCAAUACUUGGGGAGAAAAUAGACAGGCUUACCUUAUCCAGACAGUUCACAGGACAAGAAAUUGUACAGAUUAUACAACAACGUGAAGGGAGACAAGGAGACCACACCACCCAAAUGAAAUGCUUCAUUCAUUAAAGAAUAAGCAUAUUCAUCAGCUAAGAGGGAACAAAGUUGAACGUAGAAACGGCAAAAGCGAGAAAUAAGCUUCUAUCAACUUCUCAUUUGGAGUUAGCUCUAUAAUCAACCUCUUCAACAUCCGAAAAGGCCCGACCAUGACUCGUGACCCAAGACAGAACCCUCGCCGUCGAUUCCCAAGUCGUAUAGUACUGCUUCUUCGUCGUCGCGACCGUCGUCGUGGACGACACCAUCCUAUUAACCCAGCUGAGUUCGAGCACAUUGGUAUGGCCAUGGCUUCUCUCUUUAACAUUCCCUAAUAGCACUUGAUCUAGCUCCAAUAAUGUGAUUUUCUGAAUUUGAAUUUGAAUAUCUUCAUAAUGUGAUGUAUAUAUAUAAUAUAUAGAUUGCAACAGGCUUGAAGUUAAUAAUGGUAGUCAUAAUGGCUGCAAUGAUAAUAAUCAUUACAUUGAGGCUU